UCGAGUCCAGGGAAGGGGAGGGGGGGGAAGUUCAAGGCUGUCGCAGUCGCCGAAGCUGACGUUGCACGCACCUUUUCUCCUUUCUCUUUCUAGUUUUCUCAUUCACCUGCGCACCCUUUGUAGACCCUCGAAAGAGGGAUCUACGUUUCUAUAUCUACACUUUUCCACAUGGCAUGUAUAGAACGUAUAUGAACGAACAUUUACAACUUUCAGCAAUGGAUCUCUUGGCUCUCGCAUCGAUGAAGAACGCAGCGAAUUGCGAUAAGUAAUGUGAAUUGCAGAUUUUCAGUGAAUCAUCGAAUCUUUGAACGCACCUUGCGCUCCUUGGUAUUCCGAGGAGCAUGCCUGUUUGAGUGUCAUCGAAUUCUCAACCAUGUCUUCGUCUUUGACAAGCAUGGCUUGGACUUUUGGGGGUUGCUGGCCACGUCAGUGUUCAGCUCUCUUGAAAUGCAUUAGCGAUGCUCGGUAAGCCUGACGUGCAUGGGCCGGCCUUUUCGACGUGAUAACGAUCGUCGUGGGCUGGAGCGUAAAGGCGAGUGGCGAAAUCGCUUCCAAUCCCCCUGACCCCACGAGUCUUCAGUUACUAGUCAAUCGUGAGACUGACGAACACGAAGGCCCCCCCAGGUCGAUCUUGAUCCUUGAUCUUGGAUCUCUCCCCCAAGCCCUUUUCCUUAGUUACUAGUUACUAGUCAGUCGUGAGACUGACGAACGCAUGUAUAGAAAGAGGGUCCCCAGGGAGGGAUGUCCCUAGGCUUUUAGGACCAUUCGAACUC
rnacentral:rRNA from 1 species